UUAGGAAUUUUGCGCAAUGGACGAAAGUCUGACGCAGCGACACCGCGUGAAGGAUGACGGCCCUCGGGUUGUAAACUUCUUUUAUUUGAUAUUACUUUCAGAUGAAUAAGCAACUACUAACUACGUGCCAGCAGUCGCGGUAAUACGUAGGUUGCGAGCGUUACCCGGUUUUAUUGGGCGUAAAGGGUCUGUAGGUGGUUUUUUAAGUUCUAUUUCAAAGACCCCGGCUUAACCGGGGAAGGGUUAGAAUACUGAAAACUAGAGUGGUAUCGGGGUUACUGGAAUUUGUAGUGUAGGAGUUAAAUCCGUUGGAUACUACAAAGAACACCAAGCGCGAAGGCGGGUAACUAGAUAUCUACUGACACUCAGAGACGAAAGCUAGGGUAGCCAAUCAGAUUAG
rnacentral:rRNA from 1 species